GGGGACAAAACGCAAAGCGUUUUAAGCGUUGGCUUUACCAACGGCCCCAACGAGGUGAGCAAGUAAGCCAUGCGAGCUUGCGAAUAA
rnacentral:ncRNA from 1 species